rnacentral:lncRNA from 1 species
GCUCCGUCCCUGUCCCCUCCCCCGAUUAAAACUCCCUGCCAUUCCGAAGUUAAAAAGGAACAAUAGACUUGAAUAUUUAAGAUUUCAAGCUGCUUCAUGUGAAGUUUCUUUUAUGCUGUCCGUAUUUGGGAAGGAAGACCAGAAUUAAUCCAGAUACCCUCGAAUUUAACAUUCAACUCAGGUGGAUUGACUGUUUAGUGGUGGCAUUUUAACCCAUUUCAUGAAAAGCAUUAAAGGCUUACCAGGUUACUUUUCUUUCUUUGGUGGGAUCUAUGCUCUGAACCUGGAUUCUGCCAGAAAUCUAUCACAUUUGGUACCUCACCUUAUCCAUUCCAACCAUAAAUGUGAUUAUGGGCAGGAAAAAAGUACUUUGAGCACUUUUAGUAAAAUUAUGAUACAACAUCCAACAUGUUAUCACUUAUUUUACUACUGAGUCCACCAAAGCUUCCUGUAUCCAGGGAAUGGAUGGUAUCAGGUUGACCCUUAAGAGUGCAUUAUUCAUCUGUUUACUACUAUUUGCAAAAGCAAAAGCUAUUAGGUAAUGGGCUGUCCCAUAUCAAAUAUCCUUGCACGAGUCAGGUUUGCCUCUGAUGAAAAAUGCUUCUGCCCACCCUUUGUGUGUGCUCAGUUGCUAAGUCCUGUCUGACUCCUUAUGACCCCAUGGACUGUAAACCCACCAGGCUCCUCUGUCCAUGGGAUUCUGUAGGAAAGAAUACUGGAGUGGGUUGCCAUUUCCUCCUCUAGGGAAUCUUCCCAAACCAAGGACAGAACCUGCAUCUCCUGUGUCUCCAGCUUCGGUAGGCAGGUUCUUUAUCACGAGUGCCAUCCCCAUCCUUUAGACCUCCUCAAUACAUAUGAUUUCUCUUGGGGUUGGAGGGCCACUAUUAUGUUCCUCUCAAUGUCAGACAAACUUCUUUAAUAGCUUUGUGACCUUGGGCACAUGUCUUAACCUCUCUGUUCCCUCAGUUGUAAACUGGACUGACUGACAGCUGUUUUGAUGCUGAAAGCCUUCAAUAUGUUUGAAAACACCUAACAACAAAGCAUAGUCUACAGCAGGUAUUUAAAGAGCAUGAAUUUCCUUCCUUCUCCAGGUAAGGGCUCAUUGAAAGAACAGUAAAAUUUUGUGUAGAUGUGUUUUUCUUGGAAAGAAAAUCCACAGUUUAACAGAUUAUCAUGGGGGCCAGCGAUGUUCCUGAAAAAGAAUUGUAGAUUCUUCUGCCUGUAACCGCCAAAGGGUAAAUCUCUUUCUCAGGGGAUCAGAUUUUUUGUGAAUAUUUUUGUUCUCUGGGUACUCUUUCUUGUAGCCUGAUAACAGAAAAGGAUAAGCAGGUGACGGCUUUCUUUCUCAGGGCAGGGUCCCUUUGAACUCCCUGAGGGAUCUGUGACUCCCGUUUGUGUUCCCUCCCAUAUGAGGGGGAGUGUGCCAUCCGCAACUGGGAAGCAGGUUUAAGGUCGCUCAGCCUUCGAGGGUCGCUUCUUCCUCGAAAAACCAACUUUUGUAGGUUUCCUCAAGCUAAACGGCCUCUCUUCAGCUCCAGCUGUUAGUCAAAACCUCGUGGUGCAACCCUGGCCGCCAAUCCCACCCUCCUAGGCCCCAAUCCCGAGGCGGUGGGGGCGGGGAGGCCGCGCGCGCCGCUUCCGCUCCUCCACACGACCAGAGGGCGCUGCGGUCCCGCCUCUGCCUUCCCGGGGUGCUUCGCGCCGGGCCCCUUCCGCGUGGGUGAGUGACUGUGAGAGUCAGCGUCGCGCCGCGCGCGCCGACCGCCUCCGCCGCCCGGCGCUCUUAUUUCGGCUGCGAGGGGCGAGCGCGCGCGUAAAGGCAUAGAGACGGGCGUUGAGCUCUCGGGCUAGAGCGUCGCCGAGUCGGAGCCGGAGCCCGAGCCGCGCGCUGUGUCUCCGCUGCGUCCGCCGAGGCCCCCGAGUGUCAGGGACAAAGCCGCCACCGCGCCG